UUAGGAUUUGGGGGUUAGGGUUCCAUUAUUUUCUAAUUUUUUUCUCAGCCGCACUAAAGAAGAAGAGAAAGUGAAGAGGUAGGACUAGGAGGCUGGGACAUAAGGCUUUGACGCAUGCGGCUUGAACCUACAACAUCGUUGUCGAAUAGGUUAGACAACGGCAGCAUCGUCAACUCGGCAGGGCAGUGUCUUCAUCUCAACAACGACAUCGGGGAAGGAUUCACACCAGAAGCGGCGGGAGCGGCGGCCCUACGAUGCGUCGGAUUGGAUCCACAGCAGAAGCAACCGCCCUGAGACGAGGCAUCCUCCUUGCGACGCCGGAAUCUUCCUUGCGACAUCGACAUGACCCCAUCGACAACUUGAAGUUUGAGAUUCGAGAUUGCUUUCCUUGAUGGCUGAGGUGAUUCGAGAUACUUUGUGGAUUUGGAGGUGACUUGGACAAGCAUUAUAUUUGGACUCCUUUAAGAGAGAACGUUGUGGAAGAUCUUGGUGUGAGUACCUGGGAGCAGCGUGGAUAGGAAGAUCAUUUAUUUUACGAAAAGAUAGCAAGGACACUUGAUGGGCAUCAAGGGGGCUCUUUAUUCUUUUCUUGUAUAUGAUUAAUGUAUAUAUAUUAAUGGAUCCACAUAUAUAAAUGUAGUUUAAAUAUGUUACAAAAUUUUUGUUGUACACUGGGCCACCCAUCACUAUUCUGCUGCGUAUUAGGAAACUAGUUCCUAACAAUUUGUAUUAGAGAGGCCAUUAAUCUCUGCAUACAUUAAUUACUGUCUGGACAUAAUAUGCAUUGUUAUGUUAUUGUAAUAUGUGUGAAUUGAUGAAUGUAUGUCUAUGUUUAAAGUUUAUUCUUAAUGGUCGUUAAUUAUAUGGUA